rnacentral:rRNA from 1 species
UACGGAGGGUGCAAGCGUUGUUCGGAAUCAUUGGGCGUAAAGAGCGCGUAGGCGGCUCGGUAUGUCAGAUGUGAAAUCCUCGGGCUUAACCCGAGAAGUGCAUUUGAAACUGCCGAGCUUGAGUACGGGAGAGGGAGGUAGAAUUCCCAGUGUAGAGGUGAAAUUCGUUGAUAUUGGGAGGAAUACCGGUGGCGAAAGCGGCCUCCUGGACCGAUACUGACGCUGAGGCGCGAAAGCGUGGGGAGCAAACAGG